GACGAACGCUGGCGGCGUGCCUAAUACAUGCAAGUCGAGCGCAGGAAGCUGACGGAACUCUUCGGAGAGAAGGCAGUGGAAUGAGCGGCGGACGGGUGAGUAACACGUAAGGAACCUGCCUCAAGGAUUGGGAUAACUCCGAGAAAUCGGAGCUAAUACCGGAUAGUUCAACGGACCGCAUGGUCCGCUGAUGAAAGGCGCUUCGGCGUCACCUUGAGAUGGCCUUGCGGUGCAUUAGCUAGUUGGUGGGGUAACGGCCCACCAAGGCGACGAGGCAUAGCCGAACUGAGGGGGUGAUCGGCCACACUGGGACUGAGACACGGCCCAGACUCCUACGGGAGGCAGCAGUAGGGAAUCUUCCACAAUGGACGAAAGUCUGAUGGAGCAACGCCGCGUGAGUGAUGAAGGUUUUCGGAUCGUAAAACUCUGUUGUAAGGGAAGAACACGUACGAGAGGGAAUGCUCGUACCUUGACGGUACCUUACGAGAAAGCCACGGCUAACUACGUGCCAGCAGCCGCCGUAA
rnacentral:rRNA from 1 species